AUUGAACGCUGGCGGCAUGCUUUACACAUGCAAGUCGAACGGCAGCGCGGGGCAACCUGGCGGCGAGUGGCGAACGGGUGAGUAAUAUAUCGGAACGUACCCAGGAGUGGGGGAUAACGUAGCGAAAGUUACGCUAAUACCGCAUACGACCCAAGGGUGAAAGUGGGGGAUCGCAAGACCUCAUGCUCAUGGAGCGGCCGAUAUCUGAUUAGCUAGUUGGUGAGGUAAAGGCUCACCAAGGCGACGAUCAGUAGCUGGUCUGAGAGGACGACCAGCCAACCUGGGACUGAGACACGGCCGAGACUCCUACGGGAGGCAGCAGUGGGGAAUUUUGGACAAUGGGGGCAACCCUGAUCCAGCAAUGCCGCGUGAGUGAAGAAGGCCUUCGGGUUGUAAAGCUCUUUUGUCAGGGAAGAAACGGCUGUGGCUAAUAUCCACGGCUAAUGACAGUACCUGAAGAAUAAGCACCGGCUAACUACGUGCCAGCCGCCGCAGUAAAAC
rnacentral:rRNA from 1 species